GGCUGAGAUAGCUCAGUCAGUAGAGCAUGAGACUCUUAACCUCAGGGUCAUGGGUUCGAGCCCCACAUUAGGCA